rnacentral:tRNA from 1 species
GUUUCCGUAGUGUAGUGGUUAUCACGUGCGCUUUACACGCGCAAGGUCCCCAGUUCAAACCUGGGUGGAAACA